rnacentral:rRNA from 1 species
GAUUUCUGGCACGAUUUGCCUGGCCCGCCACGGUUUCGUGUGUGAGUGCCGGGUCGGAUCUGCCAUCCUUCCAGAAAACGGUCCUACCCUUCACUGGGCCGGGGCCGCAAUCUGGAUCGUUUACUUUGAAAAAAUUAGAGUGUUUCAAGCAGGCAUGUUUUGCUAUGAAUACAUUAGCAUGGAAUAAUAAUCUAGGACUUUCGGUUCUAUUUUGUUGGUGUUCUGGAGCUGAAGUAAUGAUUGAUAGGGAUAGUUGGGGGUGCUAGUAUUCAAUGGCCAGAGGUGAAAUUCUCGGAUUCCUUGAAGACUAACUUAUGCGAAAGCAUU